rnacentral:rRNA from 1 species
GAUGAACGCUGGCGGCGUGCCUAAUACAUGCAAGUCGAGCGAACGGACGAGGAGCUUGCUUCUCUGAUGUUAGCGGCGGACGGGUGAGUAACACGUGGAUAACCUACCUAUAAGACUGGGAUAACUUCGGGAAACCGGAGCUAAUACCGGAUAAUAUUUUGAACCGCAUGGUUCAAAAGUGAAAGACGGUCUUGCUGUCACUUAUAGAUGGAUCCGCGCCGCAUUAGCUAGUUGGUAAGGUAACGGCUUACCAAGGCAACGAUGCAUAGCCGACCUGAGAGGGUGAUCGGCCACACUGGAACUGAGACACGGUCCAGACUCCUACGGGAGGCAGCAGUAGGGAAUCUUCCGCAAUGGGCGAAAGCCUGACGGAGCAACGCCGCGUGAGUGAUGAAGGUCUUCGGAUCGUAAAACUCUGUUAUUAGGGAAGAACAAAUGUGUAAGUAACUGUGCACAUCUUGACGGUACCUAAUCAGAAAGCCACGGCUAACUACGUG